GUUGCACCCGUGGCCAUAUUUAUAUAAUCGCUUUAGCUUCAAUUGCAAGAAAGGCAACAGUUUUCUUAUGUAGUUUAAACUGUUUGUCCAGAGAGACGGAGCGAGGUGCUUUUAAAAACCUGGCAUUAAAUCUUGCAAAGCAUGUUGAGGUGGUCAACGCUGGUAUUCCUCCCUCAGCCGCCUUCGAGCGUGUCUACAGCUAUGCUGAACUGGUAUUUACUACAAAACGAAUAAGAAUGAACUGCUAACUGAAAACCCACUACUUAACUAGGAAACUAGGUAGAUUGUCGUCUGAUUUCGAAAAAUGCCAGAUUUGUUUUUAUUUUGUGUAUAUUUCAGCAUUUCAUUAAUUAUUUUACACCAAUUGUUGUCUACGUUCUAUAUUACAACUGCAUAAACUUUAUUAAACACACGUCAACUCUAUUAAUGUGUUGUCUAUAUUAAAAAUAAGCUUUUUAGCAACAGAGCAGCUGUGAAAUAGACAGAGGGUAUCACUUUAUUAUGAAAACAAAUCAAAAAUAAAAAAGACAAUCAACAAACUCUUCAUUUGAGUGAG